rnacentral:rRNA from 1 species
CAGGUCACUCCUACGGGAGGCAGCAGCAAGGAAUUUUCCCCAAUGGGCGCAAGCCUGAUCCAGCCAUGCCGCGUGAGUGAAGAAGGCCUUCGGGUUGUAAAGCUCUUUCGGACGGAAAGAAAUCGCGCAGGUAAAUAAUCUGCGUGGAUGACGGUACCGUAAGAAGAAGCACCGGCUAACUACGUGCCAGCAGCCGCGGUAAUACGUAGGGUGCGAGCGUUAAUCGGAAUUACUGGGCGUAAAGCGCGUGUAGGCGGCAGCGCAAGUCGGGCGUGAAAUCCCACGGCUCAACCGUGGAAGUGCACUCGAAACUGCGCAGCUAGAGUCCUGGAGAGGAAGGUGGAAUGCUUGGUGUAGAGGUGAAAUUCGUAGAUAUCAAGCGGAACACCGGUGGCGAAGGCGGCCUUCUGGACAGUGACUGACGCUGAGACGCGAAAGCGUGGGGAGCAAACAGGAUUAGAUACCCUGGUAGUCCACGCCGUAAACGAUGAGUGCUAGGUGUCACGGGCUUUGACCCUCGUGGUGCCGAAGCUAACGCGUUAAGUGCCCCGCCUGGGGACUACGGCCGCAAGGUUAAAACUCAAAGGAAUUG